CCCUUCACUCGACAAAUGGGGAUGUUAAGGCCCAGAAAGGCAAAGAAAGUUCCCCAAGGUCACAAGGUCAAUUGGCCACAUAGUUGAGGCUGGCCAAGAGAAAAGAAUAAUUUCUUGCUGGAUUCUUAGGAGAACCAUACAGGAAUAAGGUGUGAGGGGACAGGGAGGAAGAUUAGAGCAAAACAGGGGAGUUGAAGUGAGGGAGUUAGAAGGAGAACCUGGAUACCCCAGAAAACCCCAGCUCCAAUGUAGCCCACCCUGGCAGCCCAGGUGAUGGUGAGAGACGCAACUCACUUCUUCUGCUUCUUCUCCAGCUCAUGGUUUCGACUUUGUUGGUUCUCUAGCAGGACGCGGGUGUCCUCAAGGUCACAGAGCAGUCUCUGGAUAGAAGAUCCACAUGUACAGACAAAAUAUUUUUCAUGUCUCACAGUGACCAGCAUUUGUAAUAACAGUGGAGAUGGAAAAACCUGAAGUGGCUUGUGUUCCUCUUCCUCCCUCCCCAGGCUCAGCUAAUACCUCGAUCACCCACAGUGGAGGUGAGAGCCUGCCCGCUCUCUAACACUUCUGUGGCCCAGACUAUCCCCACAUCUUACCUUUUGCUCCAGCUCUUUCCUGGCUGUCAGUUCCGAGUCCAGCCUCUCCUCGCAUUGCUGCAGACGCUUUCUGAGGAACUCGUUCUCCAUCUGAGCACAGUCGAAGCGCAUUUGCCACUCGUCUGCUGUUUAACGGAGU
rnacentral:antisense_RNA from 1 species